CUCGUAGGCGGCCAACUAAGUCGGAUGUGAAAUCCCCAGGCUUAACCUGGGAACUGCAUCCGAUACUGGAUGGCUUGAAUUCGGGAGAGGGAUGCAGAAUUCCAGGUGUAGCGGUGAAAUGCGUAGAUAUCUGGAGGAAUACCGGUGGCGAAGGCGGCAUCCUGGACCGACAUUGACGCUGAUGAGCGAAAGCCAGGGAGCAAACG
rnacentral:rRNA from 1 species